GUGCCAGCAGCCGCGGUAACCCCAGCGCCACGAGUGGUUAUCACGAUUAUUGGGCCUAAAGCGUUCGUAGCCGGUUUGGUGCAUCUCUUGUGAAAUUGUUUGGCUUAACCAAACAGCGUGCAGGAGACACGACCAGACUCGAGACCGGGAGGCGCAUGAAGUAUGUCGUGGGGACUGGUAAAAUGGGAUAAUCCACGAUAGACUACCGAUGGCGAAGGCAUCAUGCGAGAACGGAUCUGACGGUGAGGAACGAAAGCCAGGGGAGCGAACCGGAUUAGAAACCCCGGUAGUCC
rnacentral:rRNA from 1 species